AGCAGGUUUUCAAGCGGU
rnacentral:snRNA from 1 species